rnacentral:siRNA from 1 species
UCAACGGUUCCUCUCGUACUA